rnacentral:lncRNA from 1 species
AAGCUUCAUCAGUUUCCGGGGCAGCAUUGAAAGUUACAUUCUUUAAGCCAUUAAACUGAACAGGGAAAGUGAAGUAGACAACAGGCCGGGGAGCAUUGCUGCUUUUGCAAUAGAAUGACAAUCUAUUAGACUCCAUUACAAUGCUGUAAGGGCCGUCAACGUUUUCUUUAACGGAGAGUCUGCUUACGAGCUUGGUGACCCCACCGACUCGAACAGACUGGCCCACCAAGAGAGUAUCAGUUGGGUAAUCAAAACUCUGCCAGAUAAAGUUACCCUUUGAGUCAUGAAGCACCAUGUUGCCAUUUGGAAGCAACUUGAACCCUACAACACCUUUGUUGGUGUUGAGAAAAUAUGCUCUUUAAAAGCAUAUGUGUUUAUUUAAUUGUAAUAAAUAAUUUUUCUGAUUAAUAAAAUAAAUGAGGUAUUUUAUUCAAAUAUCUUAAUUGUAUUAAUAUUUUUAUUAAAGUCCAUUUAAUCAUAUUAUAUGUAUUUAUGUGAUCACCAUGUGGAUUCACAGAAGACUGCUGUACCGUACAUCCGCCUUGGCCGUACAGCAGAUGAUACAAUAGUGUAAUUAAAUGGAGAAACAAGAUUCUUUUGGAUAAGACAAGAUAUAUACUAAGUGGUUUAUCAUUUACCUUUUUGAUUCCAGAUACUAGUAUUUGAAACUACAAAGUUUAUUGAACUUAGUUUCAUCUAUCUCGGUGUAUUGAUUUUACUGUAAUCUUAAUCUUGAGUUAAUUAUGAUUUCAUGAUUGUAAUUGUUAUUCCAUUUGAGUUACCAAUGGGCAUGACACAUACUUGUAGUCUAGAUUAUCCGGUGUCUUGGUGGGAGUAUUUAUGAGUAUUGGAGUUAUAGAUUAACAAUAUAGAAUUUGUACAACACAUCUCUCGAUGGGUUUUCCGUACUUGAUAUAGAAUUCUCUGACCAGAGUGUGUCAACAUAUUUAGUAUGUUGAAAAUGAUCAUUAGAGAAAAUCAGUAAGUAUCAAGGAAUAAGAUAUUAUUAAAUUGAUUGGACAGUUGAGAUAUCAAUUUAAUUAACGAUGUGGUACAAAAGAUUGUGCAGUAAAGAAAUCAAUAUAUCAUUUAUUGGGAGGCUUCAUUUAAUUAGAUUGUGUGUAAGGGGCCUUAUGUUAUUUUACAAGGUGGGUCCCCUAUAGAAAAAGCAAGUAACAUGAGUUUUGAUUUUUGAUUAUUUGGAGCCUAGGGUUUUCACUAAAGGGAAAUAUAAAAGGCUUAUUUUCUCUAAAGAAAAUGAGAGCAGCCGCUUUAUACAAAUUAGAGAAAAAGAUUUUUCUCUCUAUUUUGUUGAGAGAAAAAUUUUCUCGUGCUAGUUGCUUUGGUAAUGAUAAAGGCGCUCACACAUCAAGUACAGAUCAAACCUGAGUCAUAACCUGAAAGAUCAUUGGUGACAGUUCGUGAUCUAACAAGCGUGGUGGUGACGGAUUGUGAUCUAACAGAUGUGGUGGUGAUGGAUCGUGAUCUGAUAGCUUAAAUCACUUCAGCGGAAAAAUCUAAAUCGGAUUUUUAAGGUACGAUUUCUAGAUUACAAAUUCUUAUAUAUUAUAUGAGAGCGAUCUUAAAAAAGUUUUAUAAAAAAUUUAAAAACCUGAUUUUUCCCCAACAAUUGGCUGUGUUGGAUUGCCAGACGACAGUACCGUCCGCCUCGGCCAAGACAAGGUUUCCGUCGGUUCCCAAAGAAAAGGUGGCGUUUUCACGAACUGGUUUGCCCCGGUUUGCUUCCCAGACCCAGCGGUAAUUUGGCUCGUUUCGCUGCACUCCCAAACGUAGAGCAAGGGUGUAAGCAUUUGGUGUUGUGUUGUAAAAGCCAACCUGGAAUGGGGAAUUGAAGAUGCUUAUCAUUCUGUAAUCUGCAUCGUAUUCAUUAAUGAAUGGACCAAAUUCUCCUCCAUUCACAAACUUAAAUGUUUCAUCGGCAGGAACUUGGGCAUUAGCUAUGGAGAAAAUGACUAAGAAGUAGAAGAAGAGGGAGAAUAUUGCUGAAGAAGAUGCCAUGCUGCUUGCUUAAUGGGUGAUGAACAUCGAGAUGAGGUUGGUCUCAAUUUAUAGCUAGCAACGCAUGAUAGCCAAUGUGCGAAUUUGAUUAUUGUUCUUUGCGUGUUGGUAAUGAGUUAAUCCAAUUAAAUUUGACAGCUUUGAUUUGGAUCAAAAGAAUUAUAUUUUUUAACAUUGUCAAUGCACCGACAAAAUUUGAUAUAUAAGAUGGGUUUUAUUUAGAAUUGAAGUGUUAGUAGCUUAGCUAUACAACUAUUGUAGAAGAAUAUUUUUUAAUAUAAAAUAAAAGUUAAUAAUAUAUAAUAAAUAUAUUUUUUAAAUAAUAAUUUUGACAAAAUUAUUAAAGAUAUAAUAUAUUUUCAUCAUACAUGUGAAAAAUCAUAUCAAUAUAUCUUUCAAGUUACAUCAGUUAAUAUUUAUUAAAUAUUUUAGUAUUGUAACUUUUAAAAUACAACUGACCAACCUCAAUUCAAAAUAGGGUCAUGAUCACUUACCACUUAUAGCCAUAAAGGCUUCGCGUUGUUAUUUCCUCAUUAGCUACUCAAAUUAUAAUCUAAGCACUCUCAUAAUUUGAGUUUUCUUGAAGUAUUAAAAAUUUUUUAUCAUGUAUUUUUAAGUGAAUAUAUAAAUAAAAUUUAAUUUUUUUGUCUUUAUUAAACAACAAUCGCCACUUAAAUUUCUACUCAGUAAAAGAUCAUACUAGUAUAAUUGAAUGCCCAACAUUAUUGUCUUAUUGAUAUAAAAUAAUAAUAAUUCAAUCCUCAUCUUCAUUAACUUUUAUACGGAUUCAAAUCGAAAAUAUGUUCAUCAUCUACUAAAAGAAAAUCUGUCUGGUUGACUCAUAAGUUUUGACCAUUUUUAAAUUUUAUUUAACAGUUAGCUUAAUUAUGUCCCUAACCUUAAAUAGGUAAAGAUCAGUUUCUGUUAAAUAUUGGAUCCGAUGACAAUCACAUAUGAUGUCGUCUCCGAUAAUAAUAUAGAGAAGGCGACAUGUUAAGUUCUGUAUUACCUACUCCAUCCAAUAACAGUUAAUAGGUGUGAAAAUUUAGGCUACUGCAAGAGCAUUGUUUUUUUCUUUUUCAUUCACAAAUUUCAUUUGUGUUUGAAUAUUUGGACAUAUAAUUGGUUGAAAGAGCACAUAGUAACAAGUGAAUAAAAAAUCACAUUGUUGAAUAUUAAAUAGUGUGAUCUUUUACAAAAAUAAUAAUUAUCGGAGACCUUAAUAAAUUAAAAUUAUGUGAAUAUUAACUCUGUGUAAAAAUAUUAAAGUAUUCCUAACGUUUGGGAAAAGAGAUAUACAAAACCCUAACGUUUUGAAAAAAAACAUACAAGUCUCUUUUUUGCCAAUAAUUAUGUUUUUUUAAUGGAAAAAUGUUAAUAUUGUACAGUUACAACAAAAUAUAGAAAAAAAUGACUGUUAAGUCCCUAAUAUUUAGGGAAAGGGAUGUAAAAUUCCUUAAUGUUUUUGAAAAAAAAGACAUAUAACCCCAUUUCCAUUAAUAAAUUUUGUUUAUUUUAAUUGAGAAAAGGGUAAUAAUAGUAGUAGUAGUUGUUGUUGUAGUUGUAGUUGUAGUUGUAGUAUUAGUACUAGUAGUAGUAGUUGUUGUUGUUGUAAUAAUAAUAAUAAUAAUAAUAAUAAUAAUAAUAAUAAUAAUAAUAAUAAUAAUAAUAAUAAUAAUAAUAAUAAUAAUAAUAAUAAUAAUAAUAAUAAUAAUAAUAAUAAUAAUAAUAAUAAUAAUAAUAAUAAUAAUAAUAAUAAUAAUAAUAAUAAUAAUAAUAAUAAUAAUAAUAAUAAUAAUAAUAAUAAUAAUAAUAAUAAUAAUAAUAAUAAUAAUAAUAAUAAUAAUAAUAAUAAUAAUAAUAAUAAUAAUAAUAAUAAUAAUAAUAAUAAUAAUAAUAAUAAUAAUAAUAAUAAUAAUAAUAAUAAUAAUAAUAAUAAUAAAUGAUAAAAUUCAACAAUAUUAUUAUUAAUAUAAAAAUGACAUUAAUAAAUAACAAUAAUUAUGAUGAUGAGGAUGAGGAUAAUAAUAUUAAAGGUAAUGAUAUAGCCACAAACUUUUGUACAAACUUAUUUUGUACAAACUGAUGUGGUGUUAAUUCAUUGGUUGAAUUAAAUAUCCCUUAGACCAUAUGAUUUAUUUUUAUUAUUUUAUAUUUUUAUUCAACUAAUAAAUUAAUGUCACAUCAGUUUGUACAAGAAUUUGUGACUGUAUCAUCACUCUAAUAUUACCCUUUGCUUAACUAAAAUAAAUGAAAUUUAUUAAUGGAAAGGUGGUUAUAUUUCUUUUUUUAAAUAUUUCAUUUUCCCAAACAUUGGGGGUUAACAAUCAUUUUCCAUGUAUUUUGUUGUAAAUGUAUAAUAUUAUCCUUUUUUUGUUAAAAUAAAUGGAAUUAUUAAUGGAAAAACUCUUACAUUUCUUUUUUAAAACGGUAGGUGUUUUUAUGUCCCCUCAUCAAACAUUGGGGACCUAACAAUCCUUUUCCCGUUACUUAAAUAAGAUGAUAUUGGAUAAGAGAAAUGACAUAUAUAUUAAAUUUUAAUGAUGUGUCAUUCAUCAAAUGGUUGAUCAUUCAUUACAAGAUCCAAGUAAAUUUGUAUUAUCUCAUCAAACAUUUGAUGAAUGUCUCAUCAUUUGGAUUUUUUUUUUGGGAUAAAAAAUUUUGAAUGUGUAAUAUUACUCUAUUGGAUAAUUGAAUUAGUUAUAGCAAUCACUAGAUUAUAACUGGAGACAUUAUAGAUAUUUCAAAAGGUAAUGACAAAUAUCUCAAAUUUUUUUUAUCCUAAAUUUCAUGUCAAUUGAUGUAUCAUUCGUUGAGUAGUUGGUGAUUCUUUAAAGAAUCGAGUAAUAGUACAUAUUUUAAGUGAAAUAAUUAUAUUAUUUCAUUAAUCAAUUAAUAAACGUCACAUAAUUUAAAAUAAUUUUUUAAAAUAAAAAAAUUAUCUUAUAACUGUGCUGUUGGAGUAUCUCUCAAUGACGUGCUACAGCAAUUAAACGGUGCAGCCACUAGCCAAAAGGUCGAAAUUAAUGUUCAAAAUAUAAUAUUUGCCAAUUUUCCAGAAAAUGAUGUGUGAUUCGGCCACCGUUAUUAACAAUUUUUAUAUGCAAAACAGCUAAGCUCUUGAGAAUUUUUCUUUGUCCCGCAAGCAAAGCAAUAUUAAUGAAGUCAAUAGUAAUAAUCGGGAUGUGUCCUCAAAUGAAGAACGCGCUACGUAAUGUCCUCGAUAGUAAUAAUUGUCUUGUUUAUUGCUAUUUAUAGAUCGUUCAAAUCCGCCAAGCUAGAAAUAGCAACAAACAAGACAAUUAUUGAGAUACAAAACGAUGUGCUCACUAAAUUGGCAAAUAAAGUUUGACACGGAGGGGCCAACAAAGUUGACAUUUUUGUUUUUUAAGCUGAAUUGUUGACAUUCCCAUUCAUCAUGGGGGAUUAAGCAAAUUUUCACCCGAAAUGUGGCGAAAAUUUGCAAAAAACAUGUGGCGAAAAUUUGAAAAAACUUGGUAAGUUUAAAUUUCACUUAUAAUUAGCAUCAUCUAAUUGUUGGAAAAGAAUCGAGCAAAACAACAAGAGGUCACCUGGAACAGCAACCUUAGAACAAUGAACGCGUUGUCCCAAAGGCCAAUAAUUUCCACUCUUAAGAGGUGAUUUCUCAGACAAGAACAAGGUGCAUUGAUCUCCAGGAUAAUGGACCAAGCACGCGCAUGUACGACUCCCCCAUCCUUAUGAGGACUCUCCCUGUGCAUGAGCUUUUGGGUGCGGGGGGUUUUUAAAAUGAAACCUUCUCUUUAGACUUGGUCUCAUGUGAUUGGGCCUCUUACCUCUUUAAAGUUGUUUUCUGUAUACAUAAAUCAACUUGUGUGCUGUCUUUCCUUAAACUUUCGAAUAUUGGUAUUUUAAAAUACCAAACACAAAUAUCCAACACUAACAUGUAAGUCUACAAAAUCUUUGAUCGGAUAAUCCACAUUUGAUUAUAUGUAUGCGAUGCGUCAAUGGCUGCAGUAAAGAGGAGCGGCAAAUAUAUCCAUAAAGGUUGUUGACUUCCCACAAUAUACUGAUAUAGUCUAUACAUAGAAAUGGCAACGAGUCGAGAAUUGGGAAAUUGAUAAAGACAAUUGCGAAGGAUCUUCAUCUUAUUAGCAUUUUCCAGAUGCAACAACAAACAAUGACGGCCCUUUUUUAUGAAGUUUCCAUGUGUCAAAGAGAAAACGUAAUUUCAUCACCUUCAGUUUUUCAUUAACACUAAAAAGAGAGAAACAAGGAAAAAAAAUAAAAGAAAGACAAGGCGACGCUAAUCUGUGUUUCAUUCUCUUUUUUUUAAAAAAAAAAAAAAAUUAAUAUAGAUAUACUAGCGAAACUUGAACUUCGGACCUGAAUUUUAGAGAGAGACCACUUCUUAUCACAGAACUAUACCUUAACCUUGACCUUAAGAAAUAGGAAAAAUCUCAAAUUGAUUUGUACUUUUGUAGUUCCUAUCUAACUAAACAUAGAAUGAUUAAAUUAUAUGCUUAAAUAAUCGCAUUUUCUUCUGUUAACUAUUGUUUUAUUCCCCUCAAAAAAAAAAGAAGAAGCAUAAGAAGGGUAGAAAGUAAUACAAAGCAUUAAUCAGAGAACAAUCUACACAAACAUUUCACUCAUUCAUUCAUUAUUUUAUAUAUGGACAAACAACAGUUAUUAUUGUGGUGGCAUUGAAAGCCCACAUAUCUAUCUGUUGUUAUUUCGAUCACAGAUCUAAUCCACUUAUUUGAUACUUAAUUGCGGGGCAACCUUGAUGAAUCCAACAUGUGUAGAGUUGGGGAAUUUGGUAAGAGUCUUCAAGUCAAAAGCAAUCCAACAUUUCGAUGUCUCCUGAUGGUAAAAAUACCCCACACAUCUACAAUCCGUGCUACAUCUGUUGCCACAAUCUUCAACUCUGAUGGGUCCAGUUCCAUUAUUAUAUUUGCUAAUAUAAUGAUCAACCCCUUCAACUUUAUAAUAAUGGAAAGCCGCUAUCCGACAAAAAUUCACUAGCGUCGGUGCACACUCUUUACUCCAGCCAAGCAAGCCCUUCUCUGUAGGACAAGCAACACAUUGAUUGUCAUCACACAGUCCAAAUUUACCACAUCUCUCAGGAAGCUGACACUCAGUUUCCCAAAUUGAAUCUCUAUCAAAGAGAGUGAAUGUUUCUUCCGUUGGCUGCGAAUCAACCUUGUCGUAAUAAGUAAAGAUCCUGAGAUUCCCAUCUACUCCUAGCCGAAGAAACGAUAUAGUGGCGUUGUACUUUGGCCUUGCCAAAAUAAGACCGCCCCCGGAUGAAGAAUCUAGAGUCAGUUGAUAAGCGAAAGCUUCAUCAGUUUCCGGGGCAGAAUUGAACGUUACAUUCUUUAAGCCACUAAACUGAACAGGGAAAGUAAAGUAAACAACGGGCCGGGGAACAUUGCUGCUUUUGUAAUAGAGUGACAAUCUAUCAGACUCCAUUACAAAGCUGUAAGGGCCGUCAACGUUUUCUUUAAUGGAAAGUCUGCUCACGAGCUUGGUGACCCCACCGACGCGAAGAGACUGACCCACCAAGAGAGUAUCAGUCGGAUAAUCAAAACUCUGCCAGAUAAAGUUACCCUUUGAGUCAUGA